UUCCCUCUUAGAAAAGCAAACAUGGGUGGAGAAGAAUCAAGGCCAGUUCCGACACCAUCACCCCCACCAAAGAAGGUAUACAUAGGUGCUGGUGAAAUCCUUUUUUCAGAACAACAGAGUCUCAGUCUCAGGAGGAACUAGUACCAACAAGGUAGGUGCUGGUGAAAUCCUUUUUUCAGAACAACAGAGUCUCAGUCUCAGGAGGAACUAGUACCAACAAGGUAGGUGCUGGUGAAAUCCUUUUUUUCAGAACAACAGAGUCUCAGUCUCAGGAGGAACUAGUACCAACAAGAAAAGCAAACAUGGGUGGAGAAGAAUCAAGGCCAGCACCGACACCAUCACCCCCACCAAAGAAGGAAUUUGACAGAGAAUGGAGGGAAACACUUUGGAGUAAAGGAGAGAGAGACCACAUGGUGGAUAAUCUGAGGAGCUUUAAACUGAGUGAUCCUGACGUGGGUCAGCUCAGAUGCCUGCUAUAUGGACCAGUCGGUGCAGGAAAGUCCAGCUUCAUCAACUCAGUCAACAAUGUCUUCCAAAAUCGGACAACAAGUGGUGCCCUGGUAGCUGCUGCCUCUGGCUUAAGCUUCACCACGACAGUAAGCUGCAGUGCCUAAAACGUUUAACACAGACACCAUGCAGGCAUGGAAUAUGGCUACCUAAUAUAUCCUGGUACACUAAGACACAGUAUUUCAUGAGCUACAAACAGGCAGAGACAUGAAGAGGGACUUACAGGAACAAAGAGGUUGUCUGCGCUGUUUUAAAUGCAAAACGUAGUCAAUCACAGGGGUGUAGGUUUGCAAAAUUAGGACCAUGGAAAGUAUAAAUACAUUCAGACAGUUGGAAACUUCAAAUAAAAAAUGGAGACAAA